UCCCUACACUUUCUCAAACUCUCUCAAAAUUCCUGAGAUUUAAAAUACACUCAACUCCCCAGAAAUCACCAAGGACUAACCCCCUGCUAGGUUUUCUUCUCCAAAAAACAACUAAGAAGAAACCCUAGGAAAAACAACUAGCCAGGAGUAGAAGCCUUUAUUUUUUCCUCGAACUGAUGUUCAUCGACCAACCAUCUCUCGCCUCUUUCCUUUUCUACUCCUCUUCGGUCUCAAUCUAUCUCACGAUUUGUUUGAUCUUAUCUUGCUCUUUUUUUUUCUCCCUCCGAUUGUUAUAUAUUUACAGGAACUGAUGUUGUAGAGGGACGUGAUCUUCUACCCAUCCUAUCUCAUUUUGGUAAUCUAAUGGAGCACAUAACCAACUUUCAUCAGAUGGAGAUUGGUGUUUGUUCAUACCAUCAUGCACAGUAAAUGGUAUUAGCUUGGUAUCAAUGUUCCAAAUAUGAUCAGGCAACAAUCUAGAUUUUAUGCACAAAGUCAGUGAGUGUUCCAAAUAGACCAUUUACCUAUGUAUUUAGAGUGUGCGAAAGGGGAGCGUAAGACGCCUGAUAAAACAUCUAUUAUAUGUCAAGAGUUGUUUUAUUUUUUGGAAAAAAGGGCCAUCUUUGUUUAUCUGUAAUUGUUCAUCUGUUCAUCUAACAAAUGCGAGUUAGCAAAUUUUGGUAUUAAAUGCUUUUCAAUGGCUAGGGUUUUAGUAUAAAAUCUAUUUUACAACUCUAACUGUAGACUGAUGUUCAUCUUAAGAGAACUUUUGUCAAAGCAUCAUUUGUGCUCGAUGAUUGUUUAUCGUUGUCUAUGAGUUUUUACCUUUAUCUAUAUUUAUCUAUCUAUACUUGAAUCUCUAAUUCUAUCUUAUGCUUUCGCUUCUUUUGUUUAAUCAGUGAUCUGUUUGUUUGUGUUUGAUUUAUCAUUAGAAAAAAUUUCCACUAAAUGAAGCUAAUUCUCCUAACCCUAAUUGCAUCUCUUAAAACCAAAACUAAAUCCGCCUGCUCCUGAUAUUUUUACAUGCUGGUAAUAGCGGUUUUGUAUUCCUCUAAUCCCACGGUUUGGACGAUGCAGAUGGAGAUUGGUGUUUGUUCAUACCAUCAUGCACAGUAAAUGGUAUUAGCUUGGUAUCAAUGUUCCAAAUAUGAUCAGGCAACAAUCUAGAUUUUAUGCACAAAGUCAGUGAGUGUUCCAAAUAGACCAUUUACCUGUGUAUUUAGAGUGUGCGAAAGGGGUACGUAAGACGCUUGAUAAAACAUCUAUUAUAUGUCAAGAGUUGUUUUAUUUUUUGGAAAAAAGGGCCAUCUUUGUUUAUCUGUAAUUGUUCAUCUGUUCAUCUAACAAAUGCGAGUUAGCAAGUUUUGGUAUUAAAUGCUUUUCAAUGGCUAGGGUUUUAGUACAAAAUCUAUUUUACAACUCUAACUGUAGACUGAUGUUCAUCUUAAGAGAACUUUUGUCAAAGCAUCAUUUGUGCUCGAUGAUUGUUUAUCGUUGUCUAUGAGUUUUUACCUUUAUCUAUAUCUAUCUAUUUAUACUUGAAUCUCUGCCCCUAAUCUUUGCUGCAUAACCUGUGGAUGUCAUAGUGCACUAUGUAAGCAUUCCUAUUCAUGCCAAAACAGAACAAAGCCUUUACUUAUUUGAUGUGGCUUAUUUGUGAUUUAUUGUGUUAACUUUACAAUGGGGUUUUAUUUUCAUGAUUACAGGAAAGGGCAGAUAACGCUCAACCCACAAACCUACAAAUAUGUUAGCCUUACUAGGUUAACUGUGUAGAAAUUUGCCAAUGAUUUUCUCCCAAACGAUGCAGGAGCGUAAGAGUGAAAGUCACCCUUUGGGAGACGUCUUACUGCGUGCAGACUAUAAUGUUAAAGAGUAUGUGAAUAGCCCUUGGGCCAACGUAGUAGCAGUUGACUUGGCCUUUGUGGAUAAAUGUCAAGGGAAGUAUACGAAGUAUACAUUAUCAUCUGCAAGUUAACAUUUAAUCUUGAUGUACCUGAACUUGGAGGACUGCGAGAGAGGUUGAUCGAGUGUAUUUGAGCACGCCUACAAAGAUUGCCAUCAUAGACCAUGAGAAGAGAAGAACCUUUGUACUGAGAAAAGAAAGCAUGCCUGAUGCAGGUUCAUUUAAUCUGAUUGGUUGGCACCAUUAUAUCUUUUCUGAGUUUAGGGUCUAAAUGGUGAUUGGUCCAUUCUCCGCUUUUUAAAUCUUUGGCAUUGCAGUUUCUGUAACUAAGACGCGCUGUCAAUGGGUUUGGACAACGAUUUAUUUUUUGAUUUUUUCUGCUACUUUAUUCUUAUACUUUUGGUUUUGAUGAAGUUGGUACCAUUGGUUCACUAGAAGAGAAAACAAGGAGAUGGGUUUGUUGUUGAUGUUGGUUUGAUUUGGUGGUUGUGAAAUUUGAGUUGUAGUGGCGACUGAAGCUGAUUAUGGUUAUCCCAGGAAGUGGUGCAGAUGGUUUGGUGAUGUGUCUGCUGCUACGGUGAAGGUUACCGAGGCUGACAAUGAAAAUAGAAGAAUGCUUUGGAUUACUGCAAUCGAAGAAUGAAGUUGCUACCGUGAUUAGGAUGGUUUGAUUAAUGUUUGGUUAUUUCUUUGGAUUUCUACAGUGGUUAUAGGAUGGUUUGAUUAAUGUUUGAUUAAUGCUUUGGAUUUUCGAACACUAAAAUAUUGUUUCUCCUCUAAAAAUUUUGUUGUCUUUGAUUACUUCACUGAUGUAUUUCCCUUUGAUGAUUGCAAAUAGUUCUUCUCUUUGUAUUACUAAUUUUGUGAGUGCUUUUUGGUAUGAAGCCAUGAGUAUCAAUAUAUAUAUAAAUGUAUGGCAAGGAAACAGAUGUACAACGUGGAUUGUAAGAUGACUUCGACAAGAAUAGGUAUUUGCCUACUUGGAGCUACAAAAAUGAUGUUUAUUCUUCUCUGGUGUCAAAUUUGUUGGGACACCAGGAAUCAACUUAUCGAGCUUUAAUUGUUUCUGGAAAUGCCAAGCAUCAAAUCAUCACAAAUUGUCACUUUGUGCUACCAUCGAUCACUGAGGUUAAGAUUCAGUCUUAGGUUAUCUACUACAAGUCUGCAACCUAAAAUAGACGGCAGGUGACCUGGAGCAUGCUCCACAACCUACUUAACAAUGUUUCAGCUCAUUACCCAGGCUGUAGGACUUGCAUGCAUCUUUGAUCCUGAAAUUUAAAUGGAAUCUCUUCUCGCCGAUUUGAAGUGGUUUUGACUCUCCUAUAUGGAAGGGUUUGACAUCCUAAAAGUACUCGCAACUAGGAGUUGGAGAAAAAACCUCUGGAUGAUGUGAAAGUUCAUAGAUCUGAUCUAGAUUUUGUCGACCUUAUAUGUUUGCUUGACAUAUUUUGUCGAUCCAGAUUUGAUAUAUCAGCCACGGCCUUAAAGGUUCCAGGUAUACCGGCUGUUAGAACCCCUUUGACACCCAUAGUAAUUAUUAGAUAACAAUUGGUACAUUAAAAGGUGAAGGUUUUUUUUUUUAGUUUUACAACAAUAUUAAAAGAUUACUAUAUAACUCAGCAUACAAAGAUUAUGUGAGAACAGUUCAAUGCACAGUCUUUGUUUUUGUAUGCCAAUAUCGUAUAUUUGGCUUCUCCUCUUAA